ACCCACUAACGUUUAUUUGCAGCGCUGGUCUUUCACACGGUCCUGACUGAAAAGGACUCACCCUACUACUUGUUCGCUUGUUUCGUACUGGCUGCUGCUGCCGAGCGACUUGCUAUUUGCUCUUAUCCACUGCAUUUCCUCGUGGACGCUGUUGUUUACUUGUACACUCUGCCUGUUCAUCAUUUGAAUGUGAACUUCGACUGAGCGCCGCCUGACUCACUCAAUUGCCCGUUACAGCUUGAUUCAGCAAACUUCCAGAGAACAUAUUGACAAUCUUCUACGAGAGAGAGGACAUGGCUUCAGAAAUAGGAAUGCAACUCGCAGAGGACCAGAUCAAAGUAUUGGAGGAGAACUUCACUAAAGUCACUAAGCAUCCAGAUGAGACGACGCUCAUGCUGAUAGCUGCGGAGUGCGGCUUGUCUGAGGAGGAUACAGCUAAAUGGUUCAGGCUACGCAACGCUCUGUGGAGACAGGCAGAAGGACUGCCGGCUGAACUGGGAUCAGUGAAGGACUGAGGAAAAGGAGUCGUUCUUCUCUUUUCCCAAGAAAGAGUCCCAUCUCCUCUGUCUCCAUCUCUUCCACCCUCUAAGGGCUGCGGCUAUCUGGUCUACGCUGCCCAGAAGCUGGACGCCUCUCCUUGCCCCCUACCUUAUUUUAUAUCAGAGUCGAAUAUGCUAAAUGUGAAGUGUACGUUAAGUCACAUUUGUGUUGUGUUAUGUUAUUUUAUUUAGAUUGUGUUGUGCUAAUAUUACGUUUACAUAAAUAAAAAUAUAUUCAGUCUCUA